ACACAUGCAGUCGAGCGGAUGAGGGAGCUUGCUCCUGGAUUCAGCGGCGGACGGGUGAGUAAUGCCUAGGAAUCUGCCUGGUAGUGGGGGACAACGUUUCGAAAGGAACGCUAAUACCGCAUACGUCCUACGGGAGAAAGCAGGGGACCUUCGGGCCUUGCGCUAUCAGAUGAGCCUAGGUCGGAUUAGCUAGUUGGUGAGGUAAUGGCUCACCAAGGCGACGAUCCGUAACUGGUCUGAGAGGAUGAUCAGUCACACUGGAACUGAGACACGGUCCAGACUCCUACGGGAGGCAGCAGUGGGGAAUAUUGGACAAUGGGCGAAAGCCUGAUCCAGCCAUGCCGCGUGUGUGAAGAAGGUCUUCGGAUUGUAAAGCACUUUAAGUUGGGAGGAAGGGCAGUAAAUUAAUACUUUGCUGUUUUGACGUUACCGACAGAAUAAGCACCGGCUAACUCUGUGCCAGCAGCCGCGGUAAUACAGAGGGUGCAAGCGUUAAUCGGAAUUACUGGGCGUAAAGCGCGCGUAGGUGGUUUGUUAAGUUGGAUGUGAAAUCCCCGGGCUCAACCUGGGAACUGCAUCCAAAACUGGCAAGCUAGAGUAUGGUAGAGGGUGGUGGAAUUUCCUGUGUAGCGGUGAAAUGCGUAGAUAUAGGAAGGAACACCAGUGGCGAAAGCGACCACCUGGACUGAUACUGACACUGAG
rnacentral:rRNA from 1 species